rnacentral:rRNA from 1 species
CAGCAGCCACGGGAAUACGAAGGGGGCUAGCGUUGUUCGGAAUCACUGGGCGUAAAGAGCACGUAGGCGGAUCUUUAAGUCAGAGGUGAAAUCCCGAGGCUCAACCUCGGAACUGCCUUUGAUACUGGGGAUCUCGAGUCCGGGAGAGGCGAGUGGAACUGCGAGUGUAGAGGUGAAAUUCGUAGAUAUUCGCAAGAACACCAGUGGCGAGGGCGGCUCACUGGACCAUUUCUGACGCUGAUGCACGAAAGCUAGGGGAGCAAACAGGAUUAGAUACCCCCGUAGUCCCUGUCUCUUAUAU